rnacentral:rRNA from 1 species
AUACGUAUGGGGCGAGCGUUGUUCGGAAUUAUUGGGCGUAAAGGGCGUCUAGGCGGGGAUUUAAGUUAGGUGUGAAAGCUAUGGGCUCAACCCAUAAAUUGCACCUAAAACUGGAUCUCUUGAGUUCGGGAGAGGAGAGCGGAAUUCCAGGUGUAGCGGUGAAAUGCGUAGAUAUCUGGAAGAACACCAGCGGCGAAGGCGGCUCUCUGGCCUAGAACUGACGCUGAAGCGCGAAAGCGUGGGGAGC